AGCCCAGAGCCUGAAUCAGUGUGUGUGUUAGUGGAAGCGUCUGGAAAGGCGCGCGAUACAGGGUGACAGCCCCGUACACAAAAAUGCACAUAUUGUGAGCUCGAUGAGUAGGGCGGGACACGUGGUAUCCUGUCUGAAUAUGGGGGGACCAUCCUCCAAGGCUAAAUACUCCUGACUGACCGAUAGUGAACCAGUACCGUGAGGGAAAGGCGAAAAGAACCCCGGCGAGGGG
rnacentral:rRNA from 1 species